rnacentral:rRNA from 1 species
AGUGAACGCUGGCGGUAGGCCUAACACAUGCAAGUCGAACGGCAGCACAGCAAGAGCUUGCUCUUACGGGUGGCGAGUGGCGGACGGGUGAGGAAUACAUCGGAAUCUACUUUUUCGUGGGGGAUAACGUAGGGAAACUUACGCUAAUACCGCAUACGACCUACGGGUGAAAGCAGGGGAUCUUCGGACCUUGCGCGAUUGAAUGAGCCGAUGUCGGAUUAGCUAGUUGGCGGGGUAAAGGCCCACCAAGGCGACGAUCCGUAGCUGGUCUGAGAGGAUGAUCAGCCACACUGGAACUGAGACACGGUCCAGACUCCUACGGGAGGCAGAAGUGGGGAAUAUUGGACAAUGGGCGCAAGCCUGAUCCAGCCAUACCGCGUGGGUGAAGAAGGCCUUCGGGUUGUAAAGCCCUUUUGUUGGGAAAGAAAAGCAGCAGGUUAAUACCCCGCUGUUCUGACGGUACCCAAAGAAUAAGCACCGGCUAACUUCGUG